rnacentral:rRNA from 1 species
ACGGGUGAGUAACGCGUGGGAAUCUACCCAUCCCUACGGAGUAACGCAUGGAAACGUGUGCUAAUACCGUAUACGCCCUACGGGGGAAAGAUUUAUCGGGGAUGGAUGAGCCCGCGUUGGAUUAGCUAGUUGGUGGGGUAAAGGCCUACCAAGGCGACGAUCCAUAGCUGGUCUGAGAGGAUGAUCAGCCACAUUGGGACUGAGACACGGCCCAAACUCCUACGGGAGGCAGCAGUGGGGAAUAUUGGACAAUGGGCGCAAGCCUGAUCCAGCCAUGCCGCGUGAGUGAUGAAGGCCUUAGGGUUGUAAAGCUCUUUCACCGGAGAAGAUAAUGACGGUAUCCGGAGAAGAAGCCCCGGCUAACUUCGUGCCAGCAGCCGCGGUAAUACGAAGGGGGCUAGCGUUGUUCGGAAUUACUGGGCGUAAAGCGCACGUAGGCGGACUUUUAAGUCAGGGGUGAAAUCCCGGGGCUCAACCUCGGAACUGCCUUUGAUACUGGAAGUCUGGAGUAUGGAAGAGGUGAGUGGAAUUCCGAGU